rnacentral:rRNA from 1 species
UACAGAGGGUGCGAGCGUUGUCCGGAAUCACUGGGCGUAAAGGGUGCGUAGGCGGGCCUUUAAGUCAGGGGUGAAAUCCUGGAGCUCAACUCCAGAACUGCCUUUGAUACUGAGGAUCUUGAGUUCGGGAGAGGUGAGUGGAACUGCGAGUGUAGAGGUGAAAUUCGUAGAUAUUCGCAAGAACACCAGUGGCGAAGGCGGCUCACUGGCCCGAUACUGACGCUGAGGCACGAAAGCGUGGGGAGCAAACAGG